rnacentral:misc_RNA from 1 species
UUUCCGUAGGUGAACCUGCGGAAGGAUCAUUAUUGUAUAACCGAGGUGCGAGGGCUGUCCCUGACCCGAACGGCCGUGCACGCUCGACUGCACUCACACACAUCCAUCUCACCCCUAUGUGCACCACCGCGUGGGUCCCCCUUUGGCUUGUCCGGAGGGGGGCUUACGUUUUCACACAAACUUUGUAUGCAGUGUAGAAUGUAUUUUUAGUUUUUGAGAUCACACAAUCAAUACAACUUUCAACAACGGAUCUCUUGGCUCUC